UACAGAGGGUGCGAGCGUUGUCCGGAAUCACUGGGCGUAAAGGGCGCGUAGGCGGCCUGAUAAGUAGGGGGGUGAAAUCCUGUGGCUUAACUGCAGGGCUGCCUCCUAGACUGUUAGGCUCGAGCACGGUAGAGGCAGAUGGAAUUCCCGGUGUAGCGGUGGAAUGCGUAGAGAUCGGGAAGAACAUCGGUGGCGAAGGCGGUCUGCUGGGCCGUUGCUGACGCUGAGGCGCGACAGCGUGGGGAGCGAACAGG
rnacentral:rRNA from 1 species